rnacentral:rRNA from 1 species
GAUGAACGCUGGCGGCGUGCCUAAUACAUGCAAGUCGAGCGAACAGGCGAGGAGCUUGCUCCUCUGACGUUAGCGGCGGACGGGUGAGUAACACGUGGAUAACCUCCCUAUCAGACUGGGAUAACUUCGGGAAACCGGAUCUAAUACCGGAUAAUAUAUUGCACCGCAUGGUUCAAUAGUGAAAGACGGUUUUGCUGUCACUUAUAGAUGGAUCCGCGCCGCAUUAGCUGGUUGGUAAGGUAAAGGCUUACCAAGGGAACGCUGCGUGGCCGACCGGAGAGGGUGAUAGGCCACACGGGAACGUAGACAGGGACCAGACGCCUGCGGGAGGCAGCAGUAGGGAACGGGCCGCAACGGUCGAGAGUCUGACGGAGCAACGGGGCGUGAGUGAUGAAGGUCUUCGGAUCGUAAAACUCUGUUAUUAGGGAAGAACAAAUGUGGAAGUAACUAUGCACGUCUUGACGGUACCUAAUCAGAAAGCCACGGCUAACUACGUG